rnacentral:rRNA from 1 species
CUCGUGACUGCGUGCCUUUUGAAGAAUGAGCCUGCGAGUUUGCGGUGUGUUGCGAGGUUAACCCGGGUGGGGUAGCCGUAGCGAAAGCGAGUCCGAACAGGGCGUUUCAGUAGCACGCUCAAGACCCGAAGCGGAGUGAUCUAGCCAUGGGCAGGUUGAAGCGGAGGUAAGACUUCGUGGAGGACCGAACCCACCAGGGUUGAAAACCUGGGGGAUGACCUGUGGUUAGGGGUGAAAGGCCAAUCAAACUCCGUGAUAGCUGGUUCUCCCCGAAAUGCAUUUAGGUGCAGCGUCGUGUGUUUCUUGCCGGAGGUAGAGCACUGGAUAGGCGAUGGGCCCUACCGGGUUACUGACCUUAGCCAAACUCCGAAUGCCGGUAAGUGAGAGCGCGGCAGUGAGACUGUGGGGGAUAAGCUCCAUGGUCGAGAGGGAAACAGCCCAGAGCAUCGACUAAGGCCCCUAAGCGUACGCUAAGUGGGAAAGGAUGUGGAGUCGCACAGACAACCAGGAGGUUGGCUUAGAAGCAGCCACCCUUGAAAGAGUGCGUAAUAGCUCACUGGUCUAGUGAUUCCGCGCCGACAAUGUAGCGGGGCUCAAGCGUACCGCCGAAGUCGUGUCAUUGCAGCAAUACGGCCAACGCCGGCUGUGAUGGGUAGGGGAGCGUCGUGUGCCGGGUGAAGCAGCCGCGUAAGCGAGUUGUGGACGGUUCACGAGUGAGAAUGCAGGCAUGAGUAGCGAUACAAACGUGAGAAACGUUUGCGCCGAUUGACUAAGGGUUCCUGGGUCAAGCUGAUCUGCCCAGGGUAAGUCGGGACCUAAGGCGAGGCCGACAGGCGUAGUCGAUGGAUAACCGGUUGAUAUUCCGGUACCCGCUGUGAAGCGUCAAACAUCGAAUCCAGUGAUGCUAAGGCCGUGAAGCCGCCCCUGAUCUCUUCGGAGUGAGGGGGAGUGGUGGAGCCGCUGAACCAAGUUGGUAGUAGGUGAGUGAUGGGGUGACGCAGGAAGGUAGUCCAUCCCGGGCGGUGGUUGUCCCGGGGUAAGGGUGUAGGCCGUGCGGUAGGUAAAUCCGUCGCACACAAGGCUGAGACCUGAUGCCGAGCCGAUUGUGGUGAAGUGGAUGAUCCUAUGCUGUCGAGAAAAGCCUCUAGCGAGUUUCAUGGCGGCCCGUACCCUAAACCGACUCAGGUGGUCAGGUAGAGAAUACCGAGGCGUUCGGGUGAACUAUGGUUAAGGAACUCGGCAAAAUGCCCCCGUAACUUCGGGAGAAGGGGGGCCAUUCUUGGUGAUCGGAUUUACUCCGUGAGCUGGGGGUGGCCGCAGAGACCAGCGAGAAGCGACUGUUUACUAAAAACACAGGUCCGUGCGAAGCCGUAAGGCGAUGUAUACGGACUGACGCCUGCCCGGUGCUGGAACGUUAAGGGGACCGGUUAGCUCCAUUUCGGUGGGGCGAAGCUGAGAACUUAAGCGCCAGUAAACGGCGGUGGUAACUAUAACCAUCCUAAGGUAGCGAAAUUCCUUGUCGGGUAAGUUCCGACCUGCACGAAUGGCGUAACGACUUCUCGACUGUCUCAACCAUAGGCCCGGUGAAAUUGCACUACGAGUAAAGAUGCUCGUUUCGCGCAGCAGGACGGAAAGACCCCGGGACCUUUACUACAGUUUGAUAUUGGUGUUCGGUUCGGCUUGUGUAGGAUAGCUGGGAGACUUUGAAGCUCGCACGCCAGUGUGGGUGGAGUCGUCGUUGAAAUACCAGUCUGGUCGUGCUGGAUGUCUAACCUGGGUCCGUGAUCCGGAUCAGGGACAGUGUCUGAUGGGUAGUUUAACUGGGGCGGUUGCCUCCUAAAGGGUAACGGAGGCGCCCAAAGGUUCCCUCAGCCUGGUUGGCAAUCAGGUGUUGAGUGUAAGUGCACAAGGGAGCUUGACUGUGAGACCGACGGGUCGAGCAGGGACGAAAGUCGGGACUAGUGAUCCGGCGGUGGCUUGUGGAAGCGCCGUCGCUCAACGGAUAAAAGGUACCCCGGGGAUAACAGGCUGAUCUUCCCCAAGAGUCCAUAUCGACGGGAUGGUUUGGCACCUCGAUGUCGGCUCGUCGCAUCCUGGGGCUGGAGUCGGUCCCAAGGGUUGGGCUGUUCGCCCAUUAAAGCGGUACGCGAGCUGGGUUUAGAACGUCGUGAGACAGUUCGGUCCCUAUCCGCUGUGCGCGUAGGAGUCUUGAGAAGGGCUGUCCCUAGUACGAGAGGACCGGGACGGACGAACCUCUGGUGUGCCAGUUGUUCUGCCAAGGGCAUGGCUGGUUGGCUACGUUCGGGAGGGAUAACCGCUGAAAGCAUCUAAGCGGGAAGCCUGCUUCGAGAUGAGGACUCCCACCUCCUAGAGAGGGUAAGGCUCCCAGUAGACGACUGGGUUGAUAGGCCAGAUAUGGAAGCCGGGUAACCGGUGGAGUUGACUGGUACUAAUAGGCCGAGGGCUUGUCCUC